GCGGGUGUAGCUCAAUGGUAGAGCAGUAGCUUUCCAAGCGGAUGACGGGUUUUCGAUUACCCUCACCCGCU
rnacentral:tRNA from 1 species